rnacentral:rRNA from 1 species
AUUGAACGCUGGCGGCAGGCCUAACACAUGCAAGUCGAGCGCGCGGCGGACGGGGGAGUAAUGUAUGGGGACUGCCCGAUAGAGGGGGAUAACUACUGGAAACGGUAGCUAAAACAGCACACUAUCGGAUAACCCAUAUGGGAUUAGCGAGUAGGGGAGGUAAUGGCUCACCUAGGCGACGAUCCCUAGCUGGUCUGCGAGGAUGAUCAGCCACACUGGGACUGAGACACGGUCCAGACUCCUACGGAGGCAGCAGUGGGGAAUAUUGCACAAUGGGCGCAAGCCUGAUGCAGCCAUGCCGCGUGUAUGAAGAAGGCCCUAGGGUUGUAAAGUACGUGCAGUCGGGAGGCGUUACCGACAGAAGAAGCACCGGCUAACUCCGUGCCAGCAGCCGCGGUAAUUC